GUCCCGGUAGCGCAAUGGAUAGCGCGUUGGACUUCUACUACAACAGCAGUGGGUUCGAAACCCACCUGAAAUG